AACGUGAUCAGAUUCGCGUUAUAAAAAGAUGCUUUUAUACUUCUUGAACCCCAUUAAUCAUGUUAUGAGAUUUCACUAUGUUGAAAUGUAAGUUCAUUAGCUUGCUUAUCUUUAAACACAAGGAGUCUGAACCCGUUUGAUAAAGUGUUUGAUUGAACCUUUCCUCUUCAUAAAACUGAUAUGUACGCUGUGACCAAGCUGUGAGCCAAUGCUUGUUUGUUUAAAUGAAAUACAGUAUAAUAUUUUGUAAAUAGACACAUAGUGCAAAAGUUAAUUGAAAACAAAUGUACAACAUUACACGAGGGGAAACACGUUCGAAAUCUGCCUUGAAAGAAUCCAAUCUUGUUCAUCCGGUUCUCUCGGCCGCUUUGAGCUAACAAGUCCUUAGAAAUCACGUCCUUCAGAAACCACGUCCUUCGCGACAUUUUAGAUAACCAGUAUACAUACUCCUUCGUGCAGAACAACAAUUAUUAUUCUAAAAUGUAUAAACACGUCUUUAUAUUUAUGACGAUUGGCAAUUCAAAGAAGGUCAAUGAUAAUUGCGGAUAAAUAACUAUAGUGCGUCGCAAGUUGGGACAGUGACGACGACUCUUCUAUGACGAUGACCAACGUGAGAAUUCAAAGCAGUGACGGAUUUGAUGACACACAGGGAAUACAAAUUGAAUACUUUUAUUUUUGUGGUAGUCAUAGAGUUCGGGAAUUUUGUAACGUCUCGGGACCUUUGAAGACUACAUCCAUCAGUGCAAAUGCCGCAAGUUUUCACACAUGAAUUCGUAUUGGUACAGGUAUACACAAUGGAAUGAGGAACCUUGUAUUAUUCGUGCACUUGUACGUUAAUAAUGUCUACAUGUGUUUGUUACCACACUUGUACCAUUCCAAGUAAUCUCGAUUAUCUUGUAGGCUCGUUGCACAUUUAACAGUCAGCAUGUAGUCAUCCCACUAUUAUGUCAUUCGGAUCCUACAAGAAUAGACUUAACCAACGGUUCUCGAACUACAAAUACACAUGAACUUCUAACCAGAAUUUUCAAUUAUUAUAAUACGUCGGCAAAGAUAAUUGCAAUAAGUAUGAAAUACUUUAUAGAAGAGAAUGUGAAGAAAUUUCAAGAAGGAUUUCACUCUUUACGGUUAAGAAGCGACUCUUUUGAUAAUGGUAAUUUAUGGUAUGUUCAAUCGAUAUAUCAGCUGUCGAAACGGCAAAUUUAUCGCUACUGAGCCGAAGAAUUUGCUUUAAAUAAAAUGACCUCAGGAAAAUCGUACAUGGUAAUUGGAAGAGUAUGUUCUACUUUCCAAAUCAAUUAAUCGUGCGCAAGGUAUGCCUAGAUGCUCACGGGCGUUAACCUUCUACGACUUCAAUUUACAAGUUUCCAUUACACGUUUCACGGAUCAGCUGAGCAGAAAUUACACAAACUGGGCCAAGGGUACUCAUGAUAAGUUUCGAUUGAUUUCCAAUCGAUCACACGUUACUGAUAGCAUUCUUCGAAUGUUAUACAUUCAUUUUAUCUGAUGAUGUACUAAAUGAUGUCAACACAUAAUAUUUUCUCUGACAUUACCAUUCAUGCAAAAAAAGAAACAGUUUUUAUUUCGUUUAUUCAACAAUGAAGCUGUGCAGUCAAGCCAAACAUCGUUUUUCUUCGUUCGUGAACCAUGAAACGCUAACAGUUCCCACAAAUGCAUCUUGCAGUUUGAUUUCCAUUGAAUUACACGUUAAAUUGUUCUAAAAACGUGGUUUAAAAAUCGGCUGUAUCUUUGUACAUUGAUCUAUUUACGACAAACGGUAAACUAUCUAAUGUGAGAGUUCUGAAUUGACGAAUUGCAUCCAAAUGAAAUGUGGGACGAUCACGAACAGGAAACGGAUUUGUUCUGUGAUGAAAAAGGGAAUGGAAAUCACUUCCUCUUUUCCAUCGUAACGAUCGGAUGGUCAUCCGAGAUCUAAAGGUGUGGAAUCCGUUCCGGUCGACGUCAUAGUCGCCGGAUGCUUUUCGCUGACAAACAAAUUCUGAUGAACAGCUAUCAUUUUAAAUGUUUUUACGUCAUACUAGAAACACAUACGCAUUUCUAGUUUUAGAGUAGGUCGUAUAAAUAAGUGUAAUAUAAUCACGCAAGGAAAUCGGAAGCGGAUUGUAAAAAGUAGUUCGUUGCUGGCGUUUUUGGUAUCACGGUUUCCUUGAAAUCCAUCUGCGUGAUCGCAUACGAAAGUGGAUCCUUAAUUUUUGAAAUACUUUUUAACAGAGAUCAUCAGACAUCUUGGAACUAUUAUAAUUGCUUCGUCAUUAAUAAUAAACAAGACUGGCCAGAUAUCGGGCGAAAUUAUAUUCUGUUUUUUAAGGAACAUUAUGCUCUCCAAUAACUCAUAGAAAGGUUACGAUGCACAAUACAACAAAAUUUUUCACGUGUCCGUACGAAAUAUUAUAUAUUCGGCAAACUUGAAAAUACUAAUACAAACGUGUAUUGAUUAUGAUCAAAUUAUGCAUGCAGUAUUAACUGAGUUACGGUUUGUUGUCGGUAACGGUGUCAGCGAACAGGAUGAUUAUGCGUAAAACUUUUGGCGCCCAGAUUGGCGCGAAACUGUGGCGCCGCUUAAGAAUGCAGAACUAUUGGUCUAUGGAACAAUGUUGAAGACUGAUUAAUGAGUAUCAAAUUAUGGCUGUGAAUUCCCAAGAAUCGGUAUGUCGUUUCGGAAUGGCAAUUUGUUAAGGCGGAUAAACUGAAUUUAUCAAGUGGGCGUCUACAACCUCAUCGUCGGGAUACAAUUACACGUUUUUUGCAAGAAUUCCUUGGAUGGCCUUUGAAGGUUGUCGAGGAAUAUCCGUGAAAUAAAUUAUCGUGGAAUCAAGUCAGCACAUAUACAACAAAGAUUUAUCUACCGUACGAGAAGAAUCUAUUUUCUUUUUUAUUUUUACUAAUGCGUGAAAAAAAGUUACAAAUUCCGUGAGUCGCGUGGAAGUUUUCCACUAAACAGGUUUCUAUACUAUGUAUUUACAUACGUGUUUUGUACUGUUAUCAUACGUUUAAAGUCGAGAGUACGUGACCGUAGCGUAGGUCACAAAUAAGAAGUGAAGUUCCGUCUUGUGUCGGCUAGUUUUGCAUAUGGGUGCAAUAAAUCAUGAUAAAGCAGUCGAUGUGUUGUGUCCAUUGGCGUAGCUAUAGUUUCUGUCUAUCUUUUGGACCAUCUAGUUACGCCAAUGGAUGUGGAACAUUCUCCUCAACUGUAAACAGUGAGUAAUGCUUACUAAAAAGAACAUGCAGGUGUAGUCAUUGCUAAUCUUAUAGUUGCGUCUUGAGAUUGCUGACACAAUUAACGUAACCUUAUCAAUCUUGGACAUAUGCGUAUUGGCAAGGUUAUACGCAAGGACGUCGAGUAACGCGGAGCUAUCACCUUAGUUGUACUUUGAAGUCGACAAGUGUUAAACAAAUUUAUUCGAUCGAAACUUUGUUACUCUGACGUAUAAUUUCGAAAUAUAUAUGUUUUUUGUAAAUGUUACCUUUAUAAAUAAUGCGAAUUUUUAUUAUAUUUACACGAAUUCCUUCUACAUAAAUAAAAACUGUAUAGGUUCAAUGAUUGAUAUCGCCACAGGAGAUCUUUUAAAAGCGAAAGAUACUUUAUUAACAUUUUACUUCCAACAUGAUUUAUUCACUGGCGCAUUCAACCUUCGAGGGGUCCCAGGCGUUACCCAUUUUUGGGCCCUAUUUAUACCAUAAAAGCGAAACGUGUACAUACGUUAUAUUGUAAUGUAUGUACUGCGAGUCUUAACAAAUUUGCAUAAAAAUUUAACCGAGAAGAAAGUACAUAUUUAUUGCAUAAUACGAAAAAUUAUGAGAUAGAUAUUUCGUACAGAACACACGGGGACAAAUGAUCGAUUCGCAUAUCUUUUGAAAAUGGUUGACGUAAACUAUAAAAUAUUUAUAUGCCGGACGCAAUUUAAAUACGAUUUCGAACUAGUUUAAUGAAGUCCGAAUACAGGUAAACUUCUUAAUCCCCAGGGUAUUGACGUCAAUAUGACGAAUAUUGAAAAGUUGUAAAAUGUUAAGUUGGCGCCGUUUAGUCGGACAACGGAAUCGGUUUUAUGGAUACACGAUUACGGAUUCAAAUGUUUCCGAAAAUGAUGUGAAAGAUAGGCUCGCUUCUCUGUAUUCCUUUGACGGUAAUAAAGUACGGUAAAUGUUCUUUCAUUUCAUGCCUUUUAGCAUAUACAUGCACAACAGUAAAAUGGAAAUAAUAAUAUAAUGCUAUCACAAAUGUCAAUUUUUCUAUACUUAUAAUAUUACAGUUAGCGUUGGAUUCAAAUUUUAUAAGUAUUCCGUUAUUUAGUAUGAAUGUGUUUUUAGUCGCGUAUACGUCAUAUUUAUGUAGGUAUGAAAUGUUCUAUAAUACCAUCAUAAAUAAAUAUAAUAAAAAGUAGACACAUUUGUAAAUAUAAAAAUGUAUU